GGCCACCCUCUGCAGGGCGAUCGAUGGGGGGGCUCCAUGAUUGAUCGCCCUGCAGAGGGAGGCC
rfam:Myotis lucifugus cont2.37846, whole genome shotgun sequence.